GACGAACGCUGGCGGCGUGCUUAACACAUGCAAGUCGAGCGGAGCGGCGGACGGGUGAGUAAUGCCUAGGAAUCUGCCUGGUAGUGGGGGAUAACGUCCGGAAACGGGCGCUAAUACCGCAUACUAUCAGAUGAGCCUAGGUCGGAUUAGCUAGUUGGUGGGGUAAAGGCCUACCAAGGCGACGAUCCGUCACUGGUCUGAGAGGAUGAUCAGUCACACUGGAACUGAGACACGGCCAAGACUCCGACGUGAGGCAGGAGUGGGGAAUAUUGGACAAUGGGCGAAAGCUUGAUCCAGCCAUGCCGCGUGUGUGAACAAGGUCUCUGGAUUGAAAAGCACUUUAAGUUGGGAGGCGUUACCAACAGAAUAAGCACCGGCGAACUUCGUGCCAGCAGCCGCGGGAAGAC
rnacentral:rRNA from 1 species